rnacentral:tRNA from 1 species
GGCGGCGUAGCUCAGGGGUAGAGCAGAGGACUCAUAAGCCUUUGGCCGGUGGUUCAAUUCCACCCGCCGCCA